UAGGACAUUUCUUAAUUAGUGC
rnacentral:piRNA from 1 species